UUUCCGUAGGUGAACCUGCGGAAGGAUCAUUAUUGGAUUUUGAAACUUCAGGCUGCUGCUGGCUCUCCUCGGAGGGCAAGUGCACGCUUGUUGUCCAUUAUUUCUCCCACUGUGCACAAAUUGUAGACCUUUCAGUAGGCCUAUGUUGUUUUUCACAAUCUCUGAAUGUAAUAGAAUGGUUUUGAAUCUUGGGAAAUACAAUACAACUUUCAGCAACGGAUCUCUUGGCUCUC
rnacentral:misc_RNA from 1 species